rnacentral:lncRNA from 1 species
GUGAAUACUUAAUUACGGAUAUGUUACCAUUCUACCUUUGCUUGAAUUCCCUUAACGCUUAGGAACUCUGCUCUGAAAAUGUGCGUUUUGUCUGAUGGCGGGGUCGGAGGAGUAGCAGGGCCAGGAUCCAGCAUGCUCCUUUCAUCUCUUAAACACAAGCUCAGUCUGCAGCCUGGCAAGAAUUGCUGUAAAGGUGCAUGAUUCCAUUCUGUGGACACUGCAAAGAUAUUUUUCUGGAUGAGUAACUGAAAAGAGGCAAAUUCAUGACCUUGACCUUGAAGACAGCAACAUUAACAGAGCUGCAAUACCAUACUCUGGGGCCACCUACUUAUGUCAUAUCAACUCACAAAAAGUACCAGUAAUAUUUACAGUUGGUCUUUAAACAGCAGUGGAUAUGAAUAAAAAAGCAAUAUCUCAC